GCAGUUGCUCAGACAAAGCAAAAGAGCCUAGAACCUGGGUCCUAGUUUUCCUAUGGAAUAUGAAGCAGGUGGCAAGAGUGAUCGUGCUCCUGAUCCUGGGUACUUUGAGCCUCGCUAAGACCACCCAGCCCAUCUCCAUGGACUGUCAUGAAGGAGAAGAAGUGAACUUACCUUGUAGCCACACAACUAUUGCCACAAAUGAUUAUAUCUUCUGGUAUCGACAGCUCCCUGCCCAGGGACCACGAUUUAUUAUUCAAGGAUAUAAGACAAAUGUGACGAAUGAAGUGGCAUCUCUAUUUAUCCUUGCUGACAGAAAGUCCAGCACCCUGAGCCUGCCCCGGGUGGCUGUGAGUGACAGUGCUGUGUACUACUGCAUCGUGGGUGACACACAGUGAGACAGAUGGGUCUGCACCUGCACAGUAUCCCUCUGUGGGGUGGGAGUUGCAGUCUGUGCAUAAGUCCCAAAACUAUGUUUUCUAAUUUUUUUUUUAUUUUCAGAAGGUGUUAGCAAAUUUAUGUGUUUUGUAGUCAUUUAAAAAUGAUCUUAUUUGUUAAGUAGUGAUUUUAUUUACAUGAUGUACAAUUUAA